GGUAGGUUUUGCAGUCUCUGCCAAAUUCCGUAGCUUCAGUGCUAUGCUGCUUGCAGGCUACCUGUCAACAUCCAGCCAAGAAACUCAAGGCUCUUUACAAGUAUUCCUGAAUUAAGCUGAUGAGCAGAGCUGGUUGCUGCUUCAUUGCUUUUCCUGCCAAUGAUUCUGCUGUUCCUGUGUCUUUCCAUGGUUUAAGAAAGACCUCUCCCUUAAGUGAGACUAUGAACAAUGACUACACUUCAGAAAAGCAGGGACACUGUGGAAGAUGGUGAUAAGUGUGAGCUGUGGCCUGGAUGAACUGCUUGGUGUGCUGUAUUCACCUCAUGAGCUUACCACCCCUGCACUGAAACCACUCUGACUCACUAGCUAAAAUU